UGAGGAAUAUUGGUCAAUGGUCGGGAGACUGAACCAGCCAAGCCGCGUGAGGGAUGAAGGUACAGAGUAUCGUAAACCUCUUUUGUCAGGGAACAAAAGGCGCCACGCGUGGCGCUCCGAGUGUACCUGAAGAAAAAGCAUCGGCUAACUCCGUGCCAGCAGCCGCGGUAAUACGGAGGAUGCGAGCGUUAUCCGGAUUUAUUGGGUUUAAAGGGUGCGUAGGCGGCGAGUUAAGUCAGCGGUAAAAGCCCGGGGCUCAACCCGCCGCCGUCGAACUAGCUGCUUGAGUUGGAGAGAAGUAAUGCGGAAGAUGCGUGGUGUAGCGGUGAAAUGCAUAGAUAUCACGCAGAACUCCGAUUGCGAAGGCAGCAUACCGGUGUGCCACUGACGCUGAGGCUCGAAGGUGCGGGUAUCGAACAGGAUUAGAUACC
rnacentral:rRNA from 1 species